rnacentral:lncRNA from 1 species
AAAUUAAGCCAAGGACGUAUAACUAACAAGGAUUCGUGUCUCGCGGUAUCUCGUUAAAAUAUCGCAUAUCGUGAGACUUGUAUUUAUAUACAAGUAAUAGCUUUUCUAAAAAGCUUGUCGUAUUUUAGCUGAUUAUAUUGACAAGGACGUAUACGUCCUUGAUUGAGAUCAGUGUUUUCGAAGUUCAAAAAUCAAAGAAAC